AUUAGUUACCGCUCAACCAAAUGUCAUGAUUCAUCCAAUUCAUUAGACAAAAUCACAUGCUUGUUUCGUGAGUGCUGAAGUGAAAAUGUUGUUGUGAUUUCGAAGAAAAUAGCAAUGCGGGAAAGCGUAAAUUUCUUUGUACUCAUCUCUAUGCAUGGGUAUUGAUUUUGAAGGGUGGUUUGGUGACCACAAAGGUGUAGAAAAAAUCUCUAAAAAACAAGACCACAUCGGGUUAGAAGAAAGAAGCUAAGAACCAGAAAAUAACUCCAUAAUUUUCAACCUUAAGGAUAGAGGAUUUGCGGGAAACCACAACAUAUAGUUUGAUAAAAAGUCUCGGAGACAUUGGUUAUAAUACAUAAAUGUUUCUUUUGUUAAGCUCAUGACUUCUACUUUAUUUUGCAGCUUCUUAGUUGUGUAGAACACUUUGUUUAACAAUUUUGUUGAGUACAGUAGUUUUAAUGAAAAUGGCGGCUCUUCUAGCCCAAGUACUUGCACCUUUUUCCAGGCUCCUCGAAUUCGCCAUGUGAAUACGCAUACGGACCCAUCCCAGCAAUUGCGGAUACGGCAUUUUUCCACUUCACAGUGAGCGCAGCAACUGUUUUAUUUUAACAUAUUUAUAUAUAUUUUUAAAAUAACAUUUCGUACAAAACCAUAAUUGAUGCAGUCAAUAGGAUUCCAGCAGAGAGUUGUUGUACAAUAUACAAAUUGAAAUAAGCAAAUUAAUCAUUUACCGCAACGCAAGCGCUAUCAACUGUCAUGACAAAAAGGCGUCGGCUAUGUUGUUGAUGCGUUUCGAGGAGAGAGGAUAUAGAUAGAAAAUGACUCAUCAUGACCGUGAGUGCUAUCAGAGAGUUCAUGAGUGUGGUUGUGACCCAUUUGAGCUGUGGAACGAAAAUACGGAGGAAUAUUACCGCCAGUGACCACAUGUGAUCGAAUUAGAUAGGCUGAAGUACCUAAUUAACCGCACGAUCUUUACGACCAAAGAAGCUAUGAAGAAUUACAAGAGUUUAAAAGUUCACAAUUUCUUCACCUCUAACCUUGUAUUUUCUCCUCGUGUGAAAUUGCUGCCAGGGGAACGUGUGGUAGUGCUUGGCAAGGUUUGUAUUCCACUUGUUGUGCUUGCGGCACCAUAGUGUUCUUAUCUCUUGUUGUUCGCCUGUAAUCAGGAUUUAACUCUUAUCUUAUUGUGUCUCAAUGUCCGAAUAACUUUUCUUCUCACUUUCAUUGCUUUCAAUUGUCCUAAAUCAUUUUAUGUGUGUCUCUAUAUCUUUCCAUUUUAUCCAAUAUACUUAAUUUAUAUAUCAAUUAAAAUAAAUAUAUUUUGUUUUUUCUACAAACGUUUUUCGUUAAGAAUAAGCAUAGUCUUGACAAUAUUUUUUUAGCCGACAUGCUAUGACUUUUUUCCAUCUCCGUAACCACCCACAUCCAUCAUUACUUGAGCAGCAGAUCUCGGUUCACUUAUUACUCAUAUAAGAUCCACUAUCUAUUUCUUAUUGUGCGUUUUCCCUCUGCCCCUCAAACGGUAAAUGUUUCAGCUUCAAAAUUGUGCUUUAAACACAAAGUGUAAAAUUGAGGUUAUGUAGGCAUUUAUUUCGAUCGAUUUAUUGAAUUAAAUUACAGCCCAGCUGCUUAAAACAAAAUUCUCUAACAUUAUGUUCCGUAAAGUCGGAAUAUGCAUUACUCAAUGAAGCAGACUAGGAGAGAUCCUAAGAAAGUGAAAAGUAUAUUUACAAAGGAGUGCAUCCACAGUACCAAUGUAUUCGUAUUUUGUAUCAAAGAGUAUCUUGUAUUCAUGACGGCAACAAACAAAUAAAUAAUUUGUGGUAUGUUUUAAAAUUCGACCCUUCACAUAAAAAAUCAACGAAAUUUGUUCCACUUGAUUCCUGAGUGGUAGAGUCAUGAUCGUUGAACCCAUGGGUUUUUUGUUUUAACAAUUACUAGAUGAAUGCUAAGCCCGUGCCUGGUUUUAAAACAGAUGUAAUUAUUAUAUCUUGUUAAAAGCGGAUAUUUCUGAGCUACUUAAUAGAAGUUCGACGAUAGUUUUUGAUGAAUGUCAAA